AUUGAUAUGCGUCUAACAAGGUCUCCGUUGGUGAACCAGCGGAGGGAUCAUUA
rnacentral:rRNA from 1 species